GGAGAGGUGCUCGAGUGGUUUAAGAGGCACGCCUGGAAAGCGUGUAUGCGCCAAAAGUGUAUCACGAGUUCGAAUCUCGUUCUCUCCGCAA
rnacentral:tRNA from 1 species